UGGUCAUCAUAAGAAAUUUGAAGAGUGAAGGGGUAAUUUUUAAUUGUUAAUUAGAUGAUAUAUUAAUUUUAAGUAUUUUAUAAUGUUAUAGGGUGAUUUUAAAGAGAACAAAAUUUUAAUAUAAUGGAUAUGAAUAGGUUGGGGUAAUAGAAUAAAUUUUGUAACAUUAAAUAUUAAUAAGUUGUAAUUAAAACACCUUUUAGAAUUAUAAUUUUUGUUAAAAUAAACAAAUAUUCUGAGAAAAUUCUGGUCAUUGCAAAAUGAAGAUCCAACUAAAUUAAAAUGAAAAAGAAAAUAAAAAGUCUCUCAAGAAACACAUACCCUAAUUUCAAUUGAAACAACCAACUUCAUUUUUUUUUAGUAAAACCUAUAAGUUAUAAACAUUUGUCAAAAAAUAAUACGAUCAAACAAAUUAAAAUUAUUUACGAAAAUACUAAAUUUAUAGAAUAAAUAACAAACUUCAAUUCCAGUAAACAUUGGAUUAUAAAAUAAAAAAUUAGGAUUCAUUAAAAAAAAUAAAAAAGUAUACUUGAAUACUAAAUUGGAUUACCUCUCUAAUUUACCAAACACCCUGGAUUUCAAUCUUUCCCCAAUAAACAUGUAAGCAAAAUCAUCAAGAACACUAGACAAUAAUUCACCAGAUAAAACUUCAGUUAAAUUGAGAGAGGUUAUGAGGAAUUUGAAAAUUUUUCAAACUUUAGAGAUGAAAAAUGAAAUAGUGAUAAGAAAUUUGAAGAGUGAAAAGGUAGUUGUUAAUUGUUAAUUAGAUGAUGUAUUAAUUGUAAAUGUUUUUUAAUGUUAAUUAAUAUUAAUAAGAUGAUUUUAAGGAGAAUUAAAUUUCGUAAUGUUAAAUAUUAAUAGGUUGUAAUGAAUGAAUUGAAUAAAGUUUUCAAACUUUAGAGAUGAAAAGUGAAAAUAGUCAUAAGAAAUUUGAAGAGUAAAGGGCGUUUGAUGAUGAGGAGCAUUCUACUCAGUUUUUUAAGAUGUUCUUUCUUAGGAAUUUGUUCUACGGGGUACACUAGUAUAUAGAGAUAGAUUCUAUGUCUUUCCUUGAUUUUAUUGAGUUGUUAGGUUCUGGUUAAGGGAGGGAGUUGUUGUUAGGGUUAUUUUUUUUAUUUAUGUGCUAUUAGGUCUAUUUGUAUACUUCCUGUGUAUUUUGGUGCGUCCUUAUGACAUUUUUAUUUUUUAAUGAAUUUGAUUUUAUUUAUAAAAAAAAAAAAAAAUUGAAGAGUGAAGGGGUAAUUCUUAAUUGUUAAUUAGAUGAUAUAUUAAUUAUAAGUAUUUAUAACGUUAUAGGGUGAUUUUAAAAGGUAUAAAAUUUUAAUGUUAAUUCAUUCUAAUACUAAUAGGUUGUAAUUAAAAAUCCUUUUAGAAUAGUAAUUUAUGUUAAAAUAAACAAAGAUUCUAAGAAAAUUCUGGUCAUCU
rnacentral:lncRNA from 1 species